UUUUAAUUCAUUUAUAUUUUGUUUUGUUGGGUGAUGCAGUUUGAUCAAAUCGGUUGAAUUGAAUAAUCCUUGAAGUGACAAGAAGGAACUGACUAAGCAAGUAAUAAUUCUUAAUUACUUACAUGUUUUCAUUUUAAUUUAUGAUUUGAUUGGCCCUUUCUUAUAUAAAUUUUGAGCUCCAUAAUCAUUGGACCAUUGACAUGUUAUGAGUGCUGACUAGUUUAUGUGUGUAAAUAUAGUGUAUGGGUGUUAAGUACUUCAGAUGUUAUUGACGAUCUCAGAAGGGAAGGGGCAUCCCCUUCUUCUUCUCCUUUUUCUUUUCUCUUGAAUUCUCUCUCAAAAAACUAAACCACGGCCGCCAAGUUUCUUAUCCCUAAUCGUCGAUCUCCUCAGGUUUGCACCAAGCCAGCGAAGGAAUCAGGGGAACGGAGCUGAGACUGUCAGAGAUGAUAGAAAUUGACCCCGAGUUCAAACUGAAACGAUAUGAUUAUUUUCGUUAUGCACAAUGCAUUUAUGAAAUUUCUCAUUUUGAUGAGUGGGAUCGCCAGUUUCCUCCACCUUUUAUGUCGCUCACCGCUUCACUGCAAAUAAGAUUAAACCAGAUCCCUUCCAAGUUUCAGCCACCGCUACCACCAGGACCUCAGCUAUCUUUCCAUUGUUCCUCAAAACUUUCAUAUUGGUACAUAAGCUCAACUCUGAUUCUAUUUCAAACCCAAAGAUUGAUUAUGUUUACUCUUUUUUCUCUGUUAUUUAGUAAACUUUCCCAACCGUCACAAAAUGAUUUAUAAGAUUAGGAAUUGAUAGAACAAUAGUUGUUAAACAUUGUGGCAUUUGAAAGUCCUUCUGUGAUUAAGAUGUGUAUUUUUUUUAAUUACAAUUUAGGUGUGGAAAAUUUGAAUUUAAUUUGUGCAUGUUUCGUUUUUUUUUCUACCCAGCUAACAAUCUGUUGCUUGGAGUUCAUCCUUUUGAUUGUACACUAGCUCUUGAUGUCA